CGCGUGUACUGGUCCGGCCGGGCCUUUCCCUCUGUGGAACCCCAUGCCCUUCACUGGGUGUGGCGGGGAAACAGGACUUUUACUGUGAAAAAAUUAGAGUGCUCCAGGCAGGCCUAUGCUCGAAUACAUUAGCAUGGAAUAAUAGAAUAGGACGUGUGGUUCUAUUUUGUUGGUUUCUAGGACCGCCGUAAUGAUUAAUAGGGACAGUCGGGGGCAUCAGUAUUCAAUUGUCAGAGGUGAAAUUCUUGGAUUUAUUGAAGACUAACUACUGCGAAAGCAUUUGCCAAGGAUGUUUUCAUUAAUCAGGAACGAAAGUUAGGGGAUCGAAGACGAUCAGAUACCGUCGUAGUCUUAACCAUAAACUAUGCCGACUAGGGAUCGGACGGUGUUAUAUUUUGACCCGUUCGGCACCUUACGAGAAAUCAAAGUGCUUGGGCUCCAGGGGGAGUAUGGUCGCAAGGCUGAAACUUAAAGAAAUUGACGGAAGGGCACCACCAGGGGUGGAGCCUGCGGCUUAAUUUGACUCAACACGGGGAAACUCACCAGGUCCAGACACAAUGAGGAUUGACAGAUUGAGAGCUCUUUCUUGAUUUUGUGGGUGGUGGUGCAUGGCCGUUCUUAGUUGGUGGAGUGAUUUGUCUGCUUAAUUGCGAUAACGAACGAGACCUUAACCUGCUAAAUAGCCCGUAUUGCCUUGGCAGUACGCUGGCUUCUUAGAGGGACUAUCGG
rnacentral:rRNA from 1 species